UAAUCUUCAGGCUACUAAACUCCUCUCUUAAGUCUCUUCAGGGGGAAAUAUAAUAAUAAUAAUAACAACUCUCCCUUCUAUAAAAAUUAAUACCAAUCAUGUCUUUCACCGGAGCUCCCCCAUUACCUGCAGUGACCGCCGCAGCAACCACCACAUCGAAACAAUAUUUCUGCUACCAAUGCAACCGCACAGUCUCGAUAACUCCCUCUUCCUACGAUGAUCCAUUUUGCCCGAUUUGCCACGAUAGCUUCAUUGAAGAAUUCGAAACCCAAAACCCUCAAAACCCGAAUCCAUUCUCCGACUCGUAUUUCAACGACCCAUUUGACCCCUUCUCUUCUCUCUUUCCUCUCCUCUUCCAAAACUCUGGCAAUUUCUCUCAUCCUGAAUUUCCAACCCGACCCGGAUUCUCCGACCCGAAUGCGUUUAACCCCCUUGAGUUCCUCCGUUCUCACCUCCAAAACCUUCAUUCUGGUGGGGGUCGGGUCCAGUUUGUGAUUGACAACAAUGGACACGAACCUGGUCUUCGAUUCCCAGAUGGUAAUUUUGGUGAUUAUUUUAUUGGGUCGGGUUUGGAGCAACUGAUCCAACAGUUGGCUGAGAAUGAUCCGAACAGGUAUGGGACGCCUCCGGCGUCGAAAAAGGCGAUUGAGGCAUUGCCCACGAUGAAGGUUACCGAGGAGAUGAUGAAAUCAGAGAUGAAUAAUCAAUGUGCUGUGUGUAAAGAUGAGUUUGAGGGAGGAGAAGAAGUCAAAGGGAUGCCAUGUAAACAUGUGUUUCAUGAGGAUUGUAUAAUACCUUGGUUGAACAUGCAUAAUUCGUGUCCAGUUUGUCGGUAUGAGUUGCCUACUGAUGAUCCUGAUUACGAGAAUAGAUCUCCUGGAGGGCAAGGGAGUGGUGGGGGUAGCGCUGGAGGAAUGGAGAGAAGGUUCACUAUUUCAAUUCCGAGGGCGUUUGGUGGAAGUGGUGGUGGUGGUGGACAAAGCAGUUCUUGACAGAUUGGAUUUUGGAUUGGCGAUCAUUGAGUGCGUAGGGCACAAGGGGAUUGAGGGAGUGAGGCGGAGAGUUGGACAAUGGAAAGAAGUUUCAUGUUUCACUAUCGUGGUUGCCUGGAGAGAAACAGGGGUAUAGUAGUGAUGUUGGUAGGCUAGUGCGGUACAAAUUAGUGCAUGGAGAUUUUUUGUGAAUUGGAGAGAUUGUUGGUGUGGAAAGAAUUUUGCAAAGAAAGAUUUUCUUUGUGAACAUGGAAUCUGGAAACUGGAAAGCAAGUUCCUGUAUGUUGAAAUGAAUAUAUUUUAAGAUUUGCUGAUAUUUACUUCUGGAAGGUCCGAACACAGUAGUUUUUGUCAUAUAUUCAAAAUUGCUUUUCAUGUUGUAUAUUAACUUUUAUAGGUUCUAUAUCCUGAAAUGCCCUUUUUCCCGUUAUUA